UACGUAGGGUGCAAGCGUUAAUCGGAAUUACUGGGCGUAAAGCGUGCGCAGGCGGUUUGCUAAGACCGAUGUGAAAUCCCCGGGCUUAACCUGGGAACUGCAUUGGUGACUGGCAGGCUAGAGUAUGGCAGAGGGGGGUAGAAUUCCACGUGUAGCAGUGAAAUGCGUAGAGAUGUGGAGGAAUACCGAUGGCGAAGGCAGCCCCCUGGGCCAAUACUGACGCUCAUGCACGAAAGCGUGGGGAGCAAACAGG
rnacentral:rRNA from 1 species